UACGUAGGGUGCAAGCGUUGUCCGGAAUUAUUGGGCGUAAAGAGCUUGUAGGCGGUUUGUCGCGUCUGCUGUGAAAUUCGGGCUCAACCCCGAACUUGCAGUGGGUACGGGCAGACUAGAGUGUGGUAGGGGAGACUGGAAUUCCUGGUGAGCGGUGAAAUGCGCAGAUAUCAGGAGGAACACCGAUGGCGAAGGCAGGUCUCUGGGCCACUACUGACGCUGAGAAGCGAAAGCAUGGGGAGCGAACAGGAUAGAU
rnacentral:rRNA from 1 species